GUAGACAUAGCUUAUAUUAAAGCACCUAACUGUUAAUUAGAAGAACGAAGUCUAUUUAUG
rnacentral:tRNA from 1 species